AUACGGAGGGUGCAAGCGUUAAUCGGAAUUACUGGGCGUAAAGCGUACGUAGGCGGUUAUUUAAGUCAGAUGUGAAAGCCCCGGGCUUAACUUGGGAACCGCAUUUGAAACUGGGUAACUAGAGUUUAGUAGAGGGGAGUGGAAUUUCAGGUGUAGCGGUGAAAUGCGUAGAGAUCUGAAGGAACACCAGUGGCGAAGGCGACUCCCUGGACUAAAACUGACGCUGAGGUACGAAAGCGUGGGUAGCAAACAGGAAUAGAAACCCUUGUAGUCC
rnacentral:rRNA from 1 species